GAGCCUAGGAGGAGGGGAACAUUUGCAACUAUAGUGGCUUAUGGUUCUCUCCACCUCUCAG
ensembl:miRNA Mir6942 microRNA 6942